ACUCUUCACGUCAUUUACAACAGGUAAUGCCAGUUUCUUUCCUGACUUGCCCUGAGGAUCCUAGAGGGAGGAGACCUCAGUGCUUUCCCUGGCCCAGAGUUUCUGAGAGCACAGAACCCCAAACUACAUCACAGACAUUUUUGGUGAAGCCUCUCUGUAGAAAUAGUCUUCCAAAGAAGAAUUUUGUCUGACUCCCAUCUACCCCCCAAAUGGAUACAAAACCCAACAACACAUCAGCAGAAACUAAAUGGAAUCAUCGGGUGGCAUAGCAAUAAAAAAAGAGAGAGAGAGA
rnacentral:lncRNA from 1 species